rnacentral:snRNA from 1 species
AUGCUCGCUUCAGUAGCACAUAUACUAAAAUUGGAUGAUACAGAGAAGAUUAGCGUGGCCCCUGCACAAGGAUGACAUGCAAAUUCAUAAAGUGUUCCAUAUUUUU